AGAGUUUGAUCCUGGCUUAGGACGAACGCUGGCGGCGUGCCUAACACAUGCAAGUCGAGCGGGGACAUUGCGACGGAGACAAAGUACUCGUACGGAGUCAAAGAUGUAAUGUUCUAGCGGCGGACGGGUGAGUAACGCGUGAGCAACCUGUCCCUUACAGGGGGAUAACACAGCGAAAGUUGUACUAAUACCGCAUAAGACCACGGGAUGACAUCAUCCAGGGGUCAAAGGAGCAAUCCGGUGAGGGGUGGGCUCGCGUCCGAUUAGAUAGUUGGUGAGGUAACGGCCCACCAAGUCGACGAUCGGUAGCCGACCUGAGAGGGUGAUCGGCCACAUUGGGACUGAGACACGGCCCAAACUCCUACGGGAGGCAGCAGUGGGGAAUAUUGGGCAAUGGGGGGAACCCCGACCCAGCAACGCCGCGUGAGGGAAGAAGGUUUUCGGAUCGUAAACCUCUGUCCCAGGUGAAGAGGAAGAGACGGUAGCCUGGGAGGAAGCCCCGGCUAACUACGUGCCAGCAGCUGC
rnacentral:rRNA from 1 species